rnacentral:lncRNA from 1 species
AACAUACUUUACUGUAACAUUUUUAUAUCAUACUAUUCUACGGUAUUUUUAUAUCAUACUAUACCACAACAUUUUUAUCAGACUAUACUAGGACUUUUUUUUUUAUCAUACUAUGACUAUGACUUUUUUAUGUCUCACUAUACUAUGACAUUUGUACACAGUUAAUUUAAAAAAGUUCAGAUUUGUUCAGGAAGGAGGGUGGGAGCCGCCUCACCUCUAAUAUAGUAGUUCCUCGUGGCGUUCUCCAGACCUUUGACAACAAAGGAGUCAAAUCCUUUUGGAAACCGAGACCUUUACUUGUCUCUGUGGCUCAGAAGGCAAAAAGACUUAUUUAGACUCCUGAUGUUAAAGGUGCUUGUGAAUUUUAAAGUCCAGUGUCUAAAAAACAGAAGAGAGUGAAAACCUUUCACAAACUGGAGCCUCCUAUGUGUCCACAUGGCUCAAAGGGAAAGAAGACUGACCGGGACUCCUGAGGUGGUGGGUUCAAAUCCUUAUCUUAUCCAGGUUGGAUUCAAAUAUAAAGUCUCAUAUCUAGAAAGGAGAGUGUAAUACAAAAAACCCGGGAUUUUUCAGUGUGUCUCCAUGGCUCAGAGGAUAAGAAGACUGACUGGGACUCUUGAGGUCGUGGGUUCAACACCUACCUUAUUCAGGUCUAGGUGAAAUUUAAAGUCCAGUCUCUUGAAAGGAGAGUGAAAUACAAAAAACCGGGCAUCCAUCCUGUGUGUCUCCAUGGCUCAGAGGGUAAGAAGACUGACUGGGACUCUUGAGGUCGUGGGUUCAACACCUACCUUAUUCAGGUCUAUGUGAAUUUUAAAGUCUAGUCUCUUGAAAGGAGAGUGAAAUAGGAAAAACCUGGAUCCAUCCUGUGUGUCUCCAUGGCUCAGAGGGUAAGAAGACUGACUGGGAGUCUUGAGGUCGUGGGUUCAACACCUACCUUAUUCAGGUCUAUGUGAAUUUUAAAGUCCAGUCUUUUGAAAGGAGAGUGAAAUACAAAAAACCUGGAUUUAUCCUGUGUGUCUCCAUGGCUCAGAGGGUAAGAAGACUGACUGGGACUCUUGAGGUCGUGGGUUCAACACCUACCUUAUUCAGGUCUAGGUGAAAUUUAAAGUCCAGUCUCUUGAAAGGAGAGUGAAAUACAAAAAACCUGGAUGUAUCCUGUGUGUCUCCAUGGCUCAGAGGGUAAGAAGACUGACUGGGAGUCUUGAGGUCGUGGGUUCAACACCUACCUUAUUCAGGUCGAGGUAAAAUUUAAAGUCCAGUCUCUUGAAAGGAGAGUGAAAUACAAAAAACCUGGAUGUAUCCUGUGUGUCUCCAUGGCUCAGAGGGUAAGAAGACUGACUGGGACUCUUGAGGUCGUGGGUUCAACACCUACCUUAUUUAGGUAGAUGUGAAUUUUAAAGUCUAGUGUCUAGAAAGGAAAGUGAAAUAGGAAAAACCUGGAUUUAUCCUGCGUGUCCACAUAGCUCAGAGGGUAAGAACACUGACUGCAACUCUUGAGGUUGUGGGUUCGAUCCCCGCCUUGUCCAGCUUUUAAAGUCCAGUGUCUAGAAAGGAGAGUUAAAUAGGAAAAACCCGGAUUCACCCUGUGUGUCCACAUGGCUCAGAGGAUAAGAAGACUGACUGAGACUCCGGAGGUUGUGGGUUCGAGCCUUGCCUUGUCUCUGUGAAUUUUAAAGUCUGUUGUCCAGAAAGAAGAGUUAAAUAGGAAAAACCCGGAUUUGCCCUGUGUGUCCACAUGGCUCAGAGGGUAAGAAGAAUGACUGAGACUCUUGAGGUCAUGGGUUCGAAUCUCAACCACAUCUAUUUGAAUUUUUUAAGUCCUUUAGCCAAAGUAAGAUGAUAAAAGCGGGCAUUCCGCAUGCCCUAGUGUGGAUCCUAUCUAAUGGCACUGCAUGGAAGUCUAUUGGCACCCAAUGGGGCCUGGUUUGAUACCAACUCGUGGCUGGAGAGUAUUAGUAACGAUCAGAAUUAG